rnacentral:tRNA from 1 species
GCCAGUGUAGCUCAGUGGUAGAGCAGCUGUUUCGUAAACAGCAGGUCGCCGGUUCAAUCCCGGCCACUGGCUCCA